rnacentral:lncRNA from 1 species
UUUUUGGAAAAAAUAAAGAGCAAACUACGAGGCAGCUGCAGUUCAAAUUUGACCCGCUUCCAACUGAAUCGGCAGAAAUUUAUCUUUCACAAGAGGUGGAUCAAAACUUUUUACACCCAAUCAUUUGGUCAAUUGUGCAUCAAAUAUGGCCUAGUAUUUUAGAAAAAUGGUUCGGUCCAAUUUUGCAACAAAUAUAUGGUAGGUCCUUCACAAAAAAACUCGUUUCGGGCACUCGAAAAAUGGAAAAUGAAAUUUCCGUGCAAAGAAAAUAAAAACUCCCUUAGGCAACAUUGUUUGGAAUUCCAAGAUGCACCCUUUGGCACAAUAUGAGAUCAUUUGAACAAACUAUGCCAUGAAUGUGGCCGUAAGAUUGAUCAUUUGGAUUGAAAGCCAUGAAUCUUCACGCAUGAUAUCUCAAUUCUGGGAACACUUUUUAAAAAUAAUUGCCAUAUUACAAGUUUAUUAUUUUUUCUGGCAACUUGAUCACAUAUAAUGACACAAUGCGAAGGUUUUCUAAUAUUUUGAUUUUUUUUGAGUUUUUUAUGCCCGUUUCAAAAUGCGGUCAAAACGGCGGGCUUGACCGUUCCUAGCUAGUGGUUGAAUCUUGGAAAACUUUUGAUGUUUCUCUGAUUAAAUAGAUACUUAUGUACCUAUAAAUGAUUUUUGGAAAAAAUAAAGAGCAAACUACGAGGCAGCUGCAGUUCAAAUUUGACCCGCUUCCAAUUGAAUCGGCAGAAAUUUGUCUUUUUCACAAGAGGUGGAUCAAAACUUUUUACACCCAACCAUUUGGUUAAUUGUGCAUUAAAUAUGGCCUAAAGUUUUAGAAAAAAGAUUUGGUCCAAUUUUGCAACAAAUAUAUGGUAGGUCAUUCACAAAAAAAACUCAUUUCGGGCACUCGAAAAAUGGAAAAUGAAAUUUCCGUGCAAAGAAAAUGAAAACUCCCUUAGGCAACAUUGUUUGGAAUUCGAAGAAGCACCCUUGUGCACAAUAUGAGAUCAUUUGAACAAACUAUUCCAUGAAUGUGGCCAUAAGAUUGAUCAUUUGGCUUGAAAGCCAUGAAUCUUCACGCAUGUAGCUCAUUUGUUAGAACACUUUUUUAAAAUAAUUGCCGUAUUACAUGUUUAUUAUUUUUUCUCGCAACUUGGUCACAUAUAAUGACACAAUGCGAGGGUUUUCCAAUUUUUUGAUUUUUUUGAAUUUUUUAUGACCGUUUCAAAAUGUGGUCAAAACGGCGGGCUUGACCGUUUCUAGCUAGUGGUUGAAUCUUGGAAAACUUUUGAUGUUUCUCUGAUUAAAUAGAUACUUAUUUACCUAUAAAUGAUUUUUGGAAAAAAUAAAGAGCAAACUACGAGGCAGCUACAGUUCAAAUUUGACCCGCUUCCAAUUGAAUCGGCAGAAAUUUGUCUUUUUCACAAGAGGUGGAUCAAAACUGUUUACACCCAACCAUUUUGUCAAUUGUGCAUUAAAUAUGGCCUAGUAUUUUAGAAAAAUGAUUUGGUCCAAUCUGGAAACAAAUAUAUGGUAGGUCCUUCACAAAAAAACUCAUUUCGGGCACUCGAAAAAUGGAAAAUGAAAUUUCCGUGCAAAGAAAAUGAAAACUCCCUUAGGCGACAUUGUUUGGAAUUCCAAGAUGCACCCUUGUGCACAAUAUGAGAUCAGUUGAACAAACUAUUCCAUGAAUGUGGCCAUAAGAUUGAUGAUUUGGCUUGAAAGCCAUGAAUCUUCACGCAUGUAGCUCAUUUGUGAGAACACUUUCUUAAAAUAAUUGCCGUAUUACAAGUUUAUUAUUUUUCCUGGCAACUUGGUCACCUAUAAUGACACAAUGCGAAGAUUUUCCAAUUUUUUGAUUCUUUUGAAUUUUUUAUGCCCGUUUAAAAAUGUGGUCAAAACGGCGGGCUUGACCGUUCCUAGCUAGUUGUUGAAUCUUGGAAAACUUUUGAUGUUUCUCUGAUUAAAUAAAUACUUAUUUACCUAUAAAUGAUUUUUGGAAAAAAUAAAGAGCAAACUACGAGGCAGCUGCAGUUCAAAUUUGACCCGCUUCCAACUAAAUCGGCAGAAAUUUGUCUUUUUCACGAGAGGUGGAUCAAAACUUUUUACACCCAAUCAUUUGGUCAAUUGUGCAUCAAAUAUGGCCUAGUAUUUUAGAAAAAUGGUUUGGUCCAAUUUUGCAACAAAUAUAUGGUAGGUCCUUCACAAAAAAACUCGUUUCGGGCACUCGAAAAAUGGAAAAUGAAAUUUCCGUGCAAAGAAAAUAAAAACUCCCUUAGGCAACAUUGUUUGGAAUUCCAAGAUGCAC